CAGGCCCAGAUGCCCCUUCGCGGCCCCUUCCAGGCCCAGUCGCCCCUUCCCAGCCCCUUCCCGGCCCAUCACUCCUUCUAGGCCCAGUCGCCCCUUCCCCGCCCCUUCCCGGGCCAGCCGCCCCUUCCCGGCCCCUUCCAGGCCCAGCUGCCCUUUCGAGGCCCCUUCCAGGCCCUGCCAACCUCGGUCUGUCUGCCAUCUGCGGCUUUCAUCAUUAGGAGUGUGAUGUAAAUAGAACGGUACUGAGUGUGCCUUUCUGGUGUAUCGGCACCUGGUCCCUGUGCGAGCCUAGCAGCGUCCACGGCACACAGGCACCACCUUCUAGUUCUAAAGUUGGAGGCCGUGAGGGUGGUUGCCUCCAUUCUGCUGAGAUGUGUGAAUAUGUGUCACCGGAUGGACGCUCCUGUGCCGAAUCCUUGCCUCUGGGGGUAAAUCCCACUUGGUCCUGUGGCGUAGGCCUCUGGGUGUGCUCUUGGAUUCAUCUUGCUGUGUCCGGGGUGUCAGCAGCACUUAGCUGGAGGCCUCCGGAGAGGUAUUCUACUCUGUCUCCACGACACCAGCACCGUAUACUUUUACAAACAAACGUUUUAUUCCUGGAAUCUUCGGCCUACAGUUCACACUCACUGUUUGAAGAAUUCUGGGGAUGACAGAGGCUGACCGCUCCAUGGGUGUGUCCUUCAGCCACGUUUGAAGGUCUUAGAGACUUGAGGCAUUUCCUGGUGGUGAUGGACAACUUGAGCUCAUAAUCUGGGAACUCUUUUAAAAAAUCUUACACACCAGGAUUCUGCCAGAAUUUGGGCCGAUUGUAGAAGGACUCUGGCUCUUUUUCUGGGAUUAGGCAAGUCGGGGCUGAAAGAACAAGGAGGCAGACAGACCAACCAGAAGUCGUCCUCAGAGCAUCAGGCAGACCUUCGUGAAGGUUCACUUCCUCUGGACGAGAAGGAAACAAUGCUUGAUGAGAUCGGUGUGGCCCUUCAGGCACCGACUGAGCCUCGCUGGCUGCUGGCAUGUGUUCUGUGUGGUGACACCCAGACUCACCAUCACAGUAAACCCACUGUCUCAGAUUCUGUUUCUCUGUCCUGUGGACCCAUGAGGUUUGAUAAAUAACUGAGCAUUUUUUCCUUCAGUGGGUGCUACGUCUGUGUCACAAACUCCCCUGUGUAAAAACUGUUGUUUUAGAAAAAUCACUUGAUAUUUACAAUAAAAUUAAAUUGCAAAUCAUGUUCUGAAAAAA